rnacentral:rRNA from 1 species
UACGGAGGGUGCAAGCGUUAUCCGGAUUCACUGGGUUUAAAGGGUGCGUAGGCGGAUAGGUAAGUCCGUGGUGAAAUCCUGCAGCUUAACUGCAGAACUGCCUGGAUACUAUUUAUCUUGAAUGUCGUGGAGGUUAGCGGAUAUGUCAUGUAGCGGUGAAAUGCUUAGAUAUGACAUAGAACACCCCAUUGCGAAGGCAGCUAACUACGCGAUAAUUGACGCUGAUGCACGAAAGCGUGGGGAUCAAACAGG